rnacentral:rRNA from 1 species
GACGAACGCUGGCGGCGUGCCUAAUACAUGCAAGUAGGACGCACAGUUUAUACCGUAGCUUGCUACACCAUAGACUGUGUGUUGCGAACGGGUGAGUAACGCGUAGGUAACCUGCCUAUUAGAGGGGGAUAACUAUUGGAAACGAUAGCUAAUACCGCAUAACAGUAUGUAACACAUGUUAGAUGCUUGAAAGAUGCAAUUGCAUCGCUAGUAGAUGGACCUGCGUUGUAUUAGCUAGUAGGUAGGGUAAAGGCCUACCUAGGCAACGAUACAUAGCCGACCUGAGAGGGUGAUCGGCCACACUGGGACUGAGACACGGCCCAGACUCCUACGGGAGGCAGCAGUAGGGAGUCUUCGGCAAUGGGGGGAACCCUGACCGAGCAACGCCGCGUGAGUGAAGAAGGUUUUCGGAUCGUAAAGCUCUGUUGUUAAGGAAGAACGAGUGUGAGAAUGGAAAGU